rnacentral:rRNA from 1 species
ACGGAAGGCAGCAGUGGGGAAUAUUGGACAAUGGGGGAAACCCUGAUCCAGCGACGCCGCGUGAGUGAAGAAGUAUUUCGGUAUGUAAAGCUCUAUCAGCAGGGAAGAUAAUGACGGUACCUGACUAAGAAGCACCGGCUAAAUACGUGCCAGCAGCCGCGGUAAUACGUAUGGUGCAAGCGUUAUCCGGAUUUACUGGGUGUAAAGGGAGCGUAGGCGGUACGGCAAGUCUGAAGUGAAAUCCCAGGGCUCAACCUUGGAACUGCUUUGGAAACUGUCGAACUAGAGUGUCGGAGAGGUAAGUGGAAUUUCUAGUGUAGCGGUGAAAUGCGUAGAUAUUAGGAGGAACACCAGUGGCGAAGGCGGCUUACUGGACGAUUACUGACGCUGAGGCUCGAAAGCGUGGGGAGCAAACAGGAUUAGAUACCCUGGUA